AUUGAACGCUGGCGGCAUGCUUUACACAUGCAAGUCGAACGGUAACAGGCCUUCGGGUGCUGACGAGUGGCGAACGGGUGAGUAAUGCAUCGGAACGUGCCCAGAGGUGGGGGAUAACGCAGCGAAAGCUGUGCUAAUACCGCAUGUGAUCUGAGGAUGAAAGCGGGGGACCAGGCAGCAAUGUUUGGCCUCGCGCCUUUGGAGCGGCCGAUGUCAGAUUAGGUAGUUGGUGGGGUAAAGGCCUACCAAGCCGACGAUCUGUAGCUGGUCUGAGAGGACGACCAGCCACACUGGGACUGAGACACGGCCCAGACUCCUACGGGAGGCAGCAGUGGGGAAUUUUGGACAAUGGGCGCCAGCCUGAUCCAGCAAUGCCGCGUGCGGGAAGAAGGCCUUCGGGUUGUAAACCGCUUUUGUACGGAACGAAAAGGCUCUGGCUAAUACCUGGGGCUGAUGACGGUACCGUAAGAAUAAGCACCGGCUAACUACGUG
rnacentral:rRNA from 1 species